rnacentral:rRNA from 1 species
GAUGAACGCUGGCGGCGUGCCUAAUACAUGCAAGUCGAGCGAAGCGGCGGACGGGUGAGUAACGCGUAGGCAACCUGCCCCUGACAGAGGGAUAGCCAUUGGAAACGAUGAUUAAAACCUCAUGGUCAGGGAUGGGCCUGCGUCUGAUUAACUAGUUGGUGAGGUAACGGCUCACCAAGGUGACGAUCAGUAGCCGACCUGAGAGGGUGAUCGGCCACAUUGGAACUGAGACACGGUCCAAACUUCUACGGAAGGCAGCAGUAGGGAAUCUUGCACAAUGGGCGAAAGCCUGAUGCAGCAACGCCGCGUGAAGGAUGAAGGCCUUCGGGUUGUAAACUUCUGUUCUAAGGGAAGCGGUACCUUAGGAGCAAGCCCCGGCUAACUACGUGCCAGCAGCCGCGGUAAUUC